UACGUAGGGUCCGAGCGUUGUCCGGAAUUACUGGGCGUAAAGAGCUCGUAGGUGGUUUGUCGCGUUGUUCGUGAAAACUCACAGCUUAACUGUGGGCGUGCGGGCGAUACGGGCAGACUUGAGUACUGCAGGGGAGACUGGAAUUCCUGGUGUAGCGGUGGAAUGCACAGAUAUCAGGAGGAACACCGGUGGCGAAGGCGGGUCUCUGGGCCGAUACUGACGCUGAGGAGCGAAAGCGUGGGGAGCGAACAGG
rnacentral:rRNA from 1 species